AUAUACAAAACUUCACUGAAACAUGCAAAUAAAGCGCGGUGCACAGUUCUCUACCACUGUAUCAAAGAAACAAACUUAGCCGAGGAUCUCAAAUCUAAGUGGAAAGUAGAAACGUUGCACUCUGCCUGUGUUGACUCAAUGAACCUUAUCUAUGUGUGAAUGACUAUGUUAUCAACCAAGUACUAAACAAAGUUUUAAGAACUUCAAAAGAAAAAUCGUCGCACAACAAUCAGUAUGGCGCGGCUGUUGGAAUUUUGAUCUCAGGUCAUAACUGACCGAAAGAAAAAGAGGGACCCUUUUUACCCCACGUAUGUGCCAUGAUCGGACGCACCAAAUCCAGCUGUUGGUUUCGGUCCCUGAUCCCUUUAGCGCCACCUAUAUAAUGAGCAGGAUGUACCCCUUCAAAAUAGAAACACACACACAUGUCCGGGUCAAUACAACUUGCUAACAACCGAUCCUUAAAAGAAGGCGCUCAAGGUGAUCAGAAGACCGACUACCACCGCCGGCCACCGCAAGGUCAGUGCCGGCGGCCAGUCCUACUGCGGCGCUCCUGCUGCUUGCUUUGAGGUCCUGUUCCUGCACUUCUUCUCCAACCAUCUUCAUGUUUCGAGGCAAGGUGUAGCCAUAGGCUACAUGAGGAGUGCAUCAAGCAGGAACAAGGCUUCCGUCAGAACCUGUAAGAAAUCACGAACCCUUUUCUAUUAAUCUGUAUUAGAUGGUCUAAUGCUAGGCUUAAGAUCCUCUCACGUUUAUCCCUAAAGUUUGUUUCCAACAAUGGUAUCAUGAGCUAGUUAAGCCUAUAUUAGAUCCUAAUGACAUUCUAUUGAUGAUAACGACCAUGUUCGGUAAGACCAAUUAAGCUAUGCUUCCGCAUAAAGUCCUUUUAAUCAGCACUGAUUAAGCAAUUAGAAGGAGGGGAGUCAAAUGUUUAAAGGAACCGCAAAAUUUUGCCAAUUAGCUGGAAGCCCAAUCCUAGAUUUUUUUUCCCCAAUUGGAAAAACCAAAGAGAUCAAAUCCCAAAUCUCAGACCAGAUCGAAAAUUUGUAGAAAAGAUGGGCUGGGACUUACGUUAUUGAUGACAGCAGCCAUGCGUGCUCGCCAUGGCCGCCUCCAUGCGUGCUCAUCUUGGCCGAAACACGCCAUCUCUCGGGACGGCAUGCAAAAAGAGACGAGGGAGCCGGCGCCGCAUCCUACGGACACGCACGCUGAGUGGCCUCCGCGCCGCACACGUCGUCGUCAAACCCUCAAGCACAGGCGUCGGCGUUCGGCCCUCCAAUGUUAUAAGAGGAUAUUAAUAUUGAGCACAAUUAUGAAUCGCUCAUUGAAUUUUCUAAAUAUUUUAUUUGUAAAAUUUGAUUGAGUGUGAAUUUAAUGUUGAUGCCACACUUACGACAUUUCUUAAAGAUGUGGUCAUUUCUAAUGGGCUCAGGCCACCUCAAGGAAAAUGAUGAUGGACGCGUGGUUUGUUUUUUCCCACCGCACUAUGUGUCAUAAUAAUGUUGGGGCAAUAUGCCUAUUGGGCAAAAUGAAAGUUGUUGGUUGGUGCAAUUCAUGUCAUUUUUAUUAUGAUGUGCACCUCUCAAAUAUUCAUAACGGUCCAAAAUGAUGUUAAUGGGUUAUGAUCAAUUCUCUCAAUGAAGAAACUUUGUUCAGUUUUUUUUCAAGGUCGUUUAUUUGACAAUUAUUAAUUUUCCCAAUAUCAUAAUUUGGAGAAUCUUGAUAUCUAAAUUUUAUAAUUUUGGAAAUUCUUAUGAUGAUUUAUAUUUAUGACAUUUUCACUCUGAAUGUCCUCUUUAAUGAUUACUCAGUGGGUGUGAGAUUUAUAUUUUUAUGUUAAUUCCAAUAUCAUUUUCAUUGUAUGACACUGAGAAUUCUAAUGAUAAUUUUGACACUUAGGUUCAAUAUUUAUAUUAUCGUUGUGAGAUUUAGUGUCAAAAGGCAUCACUCAUGGCACAAAUGAUUAUAUUAUGAUGUUGCUUUAUGUUAAUGAUGGCAAUUAAUUUAGUCAUAGUUCUUGCUGGUCAUUACGAGAUUUUACAUCUCUCUAGUCAAAAUGGAACCAACGAGAAGUUUUGAUUAGAGAUUUAAUGAGCAAAUGUUCUAAUGGCAUAUGAUGAUAUUCUGACCAACAUUGAUUAUGUUUUUCAUGUGUCAUUUACGAAUGAGUAAGGUUCUUUUUCGUUAUCUGCCCAACGGUGAUACGGAUUAGAAUAAACAUUAAGCAAGUUUUUAUUCAUGGCAUUGCAUGGUUAGUUCAUGCUUGAUUUUUUUUUUGUUAUAAUGAUCAUAAAGUUGUCUCCUCUUUCCAGCAAUAAUAAUGAUGUCAAACUUUUGUUUGGCAUAGAAGAACCUUAUGUAAAUAUCUUUCCCACAUGGAGAGUGGAGAUCAUUGUAUCAUGUAAGGAAUCUCCCAAUGUUUUUCUGCCAAUAAGGCUGAAGGAUUUUUAAUCAUGAUGAUAAGGCAGACAUUGGGAGAGGACGCAUGUGCCAUCAUACACAUCACUAAUGCAAAGGAGAUUAAAGUCAAAACUAUUAUUGGAUUUAUUCCACUAGCUUUUGGAGAUGACUUAAUUCUUCAUCUUAUUGAUGAUGUUUUGGUUCAUGCUCCUAGUUAUUGGAAAACUUUAAUUUCAUCUCUCGAAUAGAUGACGUGAUUUUAUAUGUUAUUACGUCAACUCAAAUUAUGUAAUGUUAGUCCCACCUUAUGGUGAGACGAGUUAUGUUUUUCACUAAAUGAACCUUUUGUAAAGAUUAUAUGCUAUGUUACUAUUGAAUAUGUCACGGAAGUGUGAUUAAUGAGACCUCAUCAAAAUUGUGGUUUUAGACCACAUUUCGAGGGGGAGAAUGGAAGUCUCAUUUAAUAUGAGAUAUCGUGUUCACUUCUCCUACUUAAUUAGAUCAUAACAUGUACAAUUAAGCAAACUAUGUAUCUCAAUUCUCCAAGUAAGAUGGAACCAACGAGAAGUCUUGGUUGGAGAAUGUAUGAAAAGCACAUUCUAAUGUUGGUUCUCUAAUUAGGACGCAACAAGUCUUAUUUAGAAGAAUCCAUGAAAAAUGACUCUUUUAUCAUGUUAGUGUGCACUUAGUCCCUUAUGAGCAUUACGAAACACACAUGAAUGCUAAAGUGGCAAGCUUGCUAGUCUAAUGACCAUCAUGAUGUAACAUGUUGAUUAUAUAUGCAACUUCGUUUAUAAUCAUAUGUGACACUUUACUUAAGUGGCAAGUUUUGUCAGUAUCAUGUGGCUUGUGGUUAUAUUCCUGACUAACGUCGUGUAUAAUCAUUUGUCAUAGUUCAUUAAGUUCUUUUCCACCUUCAGCCCAACGGUGUUGUGGUUUAGAGCUGAGAUGAUUGUUAUCAAGAUUUUUGGAUAUAUUUUCCAUCUUCUAAAUAAAGUGAUCAUCGGGGAACCUGGAGCUUAUGAGCAUUAAUCCUAAGGAUAACUCCAUUAGAUCUUUGUUCAUAUGCAUCAGGUAAAUUGAGGGGAAUUCUUUUUUCUCUAAUGCAACACUUAUUGUUGAGACUCAACAAUUUCUCUAUGAUCAAUAAGUGUGUGAAUGUUCAUCUUAGUGGCCUUUUGCCAUAUAGGAUGAAGAUUAUGAACUCUAAUGAUGUAUGGAACUCCAUAGAAUUUCCUCAGUGAGUUGUUGUUACGUUUGUGUUAUUACUAUGACAUGCUCUUGUGUUGACUUAGUGAUAAUGUAUGUAUGACUCAACUGUACGGUUUUGUCAUGGGUGAAGUUGACAUAAGGCAUGUUAUCUAAAGAAAUACAAUUAUGUGAUAAUACAAGCGUUGGGACACUCAUACUAUAAGACGAGGGGGAGUAAGAUCACUAACUUGUGGAGAUAUAAUAUUUUGGCGAGCCAAGUAAUUUCUAUCUUCUAUUUGUAACAUGAAGGAUCUUGGUGAUGCCUCAUACUUUGCUUGUAUUGAGUUUCGCCAAGAUAUAGGUCCAAAAGGAGUAUAAGUUUUAUGAUGAUGACAUACGUUGAUAGAGUACGGAAGAAAAUAUUACGUGGUAGUACUCUAUCGCACCUGCUACUAAAGUCAAGGGCAAUAAAGGUGGACAAUUUAGUGUCCAAGGAACCAUUAUGAACUGAUCAGGUAAUGUUAGUUCCUUAUGCUUCAGCUGUCUGAAGCAAUGUAAGUUUUCAAUUAUGAACUUGUCCUAUUUAUGAUCGGAAUAAUUGGCAAAUAGACAAGUCCGGAAAUGGACCACUCGAGAAGCCGCGAAAAAUCUUGUAGAUAUGCAAGGCAAUAAAGGUUUACAUGCUCACUAAUAAGAAGUCUGAUAACCUCGAUAUCCUCGAUUAUUCAGACAUUGUUUCUGCGAGAUGUGUGGAUAUUAAAGUUUCCACAUUGUGUUACAUGCUCACUCUCGCAUAUGGAGCUAUAUCGUGGAAGACCUCCAUAAUGACAUUGAUGGCAUUAGAAAUAAUGCAAUUUAUGAUGGGGUAUGUUAAGAGGCUUUUGGGCAGGUUGUAUGUCAAAGAUGUUCUAUUCCCGAAAUUAAGGUGGUAGACAACAUUUAUAAAACUCACCUACUGCAUUAUGAACACGCAGUUUUCUAUGCGAGUAACAACAAGUCAAAUGGUGUUGCCAAAACUAUUGACAAUAUGUUUCAUGUUGUGAAAGAUAGAACCCAAGAUCAAGCUAAUGAUGUUAAUCAUAUAAAAAUGAAUCGUAUGUAUUAUGGAUCCGUUUAUUAAAGGCUCAUCACCCAUAUUUAUGAUUAUGUUGCCGGCAUGGGUUAGGAAGGCCUUUUGAUCCUGGAAUUAGGACCAUCAAAUAAACCAACUCCCAUAAAGUAAUAUGUUAUCAAUUCGAGAUAAAAUGUUGUACUAUAAGUAUUGAGGUUCAAUGGCACUUCAUUGGCCAUUGCAACACCUUACUUUCGUAUAUUGAUUUUAUUAAGAGUGGGCUUAUGAUGUUUUUUGACCUUACGAUCAAGGGGGAGAAUGUUGGAAUUUUGAUCUCAGGUCAUAACUGACCGAGAGAAAAAGGGGGACCCUUUUUACCCCAUGUAUGUGCCAUGAUCGGAGGCACCAAAUCCAGCUGUUGGUUUCGGUCCCUGAUCCCUUUAGCGCCACCUAUAUAAUGAGCAGGAUGUAGCCCUUCAAAAUAGAAAAACACACACAUGUCCGGGUCAUACAACUUGCUAACAACCGAU
rnacentral:lncRNA from 1 species